GCAGCUGGGAGGAGACCCCCUGGCCGUGGAGAAAUGCAUACCCCUGCCUACACGCAGCUCCGAUUCUUCGCCAUUCUGGAGAGGUCUUCACUGGUCCUUCUAACUCCAGAGAUUUCAAGCAGACGAGUCAUGCUGGAGUGCCAUUAGAAGGGGCAAGAGAUUGCUGCUGGAUGUGAAAGGGGGUUUGAAGAGUUUGAAGUAAUGUGUCUUUACAGAUGUUCCAGGUUUCGGGAAUACAGCUGCAGACGUCGGAUCAAGGUAUCCAUUUCCCCAGGUGAUGCAAUGCCCAGCUGCGGUGAAGAGAAGCGAGGAAGGGGAGGAUCACAAAUGGUACUAGAUACAGUCCCUACCUGCGUUCUUUUGCCUGAACGAGAGUCCCUGGGGAGGGACAGGACCACGGUAUGGAACCGUGGUUGCCUGUACUCACCACUAGGUGAUGCUCCUGCCUGGGAAAACGAUCUGCUGGCUUAUGCCUUAGCAAAGAAGGGACAGAAGAAGCACUGACAAAUGGGCUGAUACGGCACCGCCCGUGAAACAGCAGAUGCUCUUCAGGCAUUGCCAAGUCUUGGAGUUUUGGGCCUGUAUUCUGUUGGAACCAGCUACUAGAUAAUGCAGUCGAAUUCCUCAUAUCCAACUCCAGAACCAUCCAGCCACACGAGUGAACUGAUAAGGAGGAUGCUUUGGUGAAAGAGGUUGUAAACGACAUGUGGAUACACUCAGGCUAGAAAGGAGGGUUUGAGAAGAGAGAUGCUGAUGUGUGGGGAGGAAUCCCAGGAUCCAGAAAAGCAGGAGGAAAGGAAGGCAUGAGGAGAAGCAAGGAUAGAAGCAGAUGUAGCUCAGAACCCUGGGUACAACCUGCCUUUAAUGCUGCAAAAGAGAGAAAGAAAAUGGCCCAUUCAUGCCCAGCAGAGUCUGGCCAUAACCGCAUCUGGCAGGUUGCUUGCAAAUUAAAGCAAAAUAUUUUUAUCUUUAUCCUGCAAGGAACAAAAGUUUAAAAAAAAUUUUU